AUGCAGACAAUUAAGUGUGUUGGUGGUGGUGAUGGUGCUGUUGGUAAAACAUAUUUCCUGAUAUCCUACACAACAAAUUUCCAUCAGAAUAUGUACCAGCUGUUUUUGGCAACUAUGCAGUCAUAGUUAUGAUUGGUGGAGAGCCAUACACUCUCGGACUUUUUGAUACUGCAGGGCAAGAGGAUUAUGACAGACUACGACCGCUAAGUUAUCCACAGACAGAUGUUUUUCUAGUAUGUUUCUCAGUGGUCUCUUCAUCCUCAUUUGAAAAUGUGAAAGAAAACUGGAUGCCUGAGAUAACUCACCACUGUCCAAAGCCUCCUUUCUUGCUUGUUGGGACCCAAAUUGAUCUCAGAGAUGACCCCUCUCCUAUUGAGAAACUUGCCAAGAACAAACAGAAGGCCAUUACUCCAGAGACUGCUGGAAAGCUGGCUGUCAAGUCUGUGGAGUGCUCCACCCUCACACAGAAAGGCCUAAAGAAUGUGUUUGAUGAAGCAUUAUUGGCUGCCUUGGAGCCUCCAGAACCAAAGAAGAGCCGCAGGUGUGUGCUGCUAUGA